rnacentral:rRNA from 1 species
UACGGAGGGUGCAAGCGUUAUCCGGAUUUACUGGGUUUAAAGCGUGCGCAGGCGGUUGGCAAAGUCAGCUGUGAAAGCCCCGGGCUCAACCUGGGAAUUGCGGUUGAAACUAGUCGACUAGAAUCUGGCAGAGGGGGGUGGAAUUCCCGGUGUAGCGGUGAAAUGCGCAGAUAUCGGGAGGAACACCGGUGGCGAAGGCGGUUCUCUGGGCCUUACCUGACGCUGAGGAGCGAAAGCGUGGGGAGCGAACAGG